CACAUGACAAUAUAGAACAUUUCCAUCACCGAAAAAAAGUGCCCCCAGUCCCCUGUAGAGCUAUAAGGUUUUUACUUAACCUCUUCUAUCAUACAUCUGUAUAUCCUCCCAUGCCAAGAAUCCCAAUUCUCUAGAAUACUGAGGGUAAUAAAAUUAGAAUGCCAUGCCAUACAUGCUCAUUUGCUCUAUCUCACCUUAAUCAUGGCAGUCUCAGAAUUGCAAGACCAAUAUUACCAUUGUAUAUCUACUUAAAUUUUUUAAUUUCAUUUUUGCAGUUUGAGAUUUUUAUACUUAGUUUUAAUAUAACUGUGGGAACCUAAAAAGUUGGGUUUUUUUUAAGUGAUUUUUCUGAAGAAAAUCUCAGUCCUGUCUGCAGGUACCUCGUUUCUUAAGACUUCAGCCUUCACAGGAGGAUUGUAUUCCUAGGCUUAGAUUAUCAAAUACCUGAACAGGCAACGGAGAAUGUUUACACUGCAGUUGAGCACUUCCGAGACUUCAUUUUAAGGGGACGGCUGUGAAUAUCUUCGACCAAUAUAGAUGCUCAUGCAAGGGCUCUGGAAAGUGGAAGGUCCGAGGGAUAUGGUGGUGAACAAAAGGAAGAGAGUUGGUGGCUUUCCCCGAGAAGCAAGUGUCUGCAGUGGCAAAGCUCCACAUUCGCCUGCUUGGGUUCCAGUUUCUGAAGUGAGGCAGUCGGGGCAGAGGUAACCACCAUUAAUAGUAGCAGCAGUAGUUCUCUGGUCUCUAGAUUGUAAGAAAACCUACAGAUAAAUUAUUAAAAUUGAAAAGAGACUUUAGUGACAUUGCUGGAUACAAAGUCAACCAAGAAAAAUUAUCGUUUUGUAUUUAUCAACAACACAAAAUAAAAAUGCAAGUUACCAAGUACCUAGGAAUAAGUCUAACAAAAGAUGUGUAAGAUCUGUA